rnacentral:rRNA from 1 species
AACGAACGCUGGCGGCAGGCCUAACACAUGCAAGUCGAGCGAGACCUUCGGGUCUAGCGGCGGACGGGUUAGUAACGCGUGGGAACGUGCCCAGCUCUGCGGAAUAGCCUCUGGAAACGGAGAGUAAUACCGCAUACGCCCUUCGGGGGAAAGAAUUUCGGAGUUGGAUCGGCCCGCGUUAGAUUAGGUAGUUGGUGGGGUAACGGCCUACCAAGCCUACGAUCUAUAGCUGGUUUGAGAGGAUGAUCAGCAACACUGGGACUGAGACACGGCCCAGACUCCUACGGGAGGCAGCAGUGGGGAAUCUUCGGCAAUGGGCGCAAGCCUGACCGAGCCAUGCCGCGUGAGCGAUGAAGGCCUUAGGGUUGUAAAGCUCUUUCGCCAGGGAUGAUAAUGACAGUACCUGGUAAAGAAACCCCGGCUAACUCCGUGCCAGCCGCCGCCGUAACAC